CUUGGUUAUGGGGACAUGGUUCCUAAGACGUGGCUCGGCAUGAUAGUGGGUGCGUUAUGUGCUAUAGCGGGCGUGCUUACUAUCGCCAUGCCGGUGCCUGUUAUCGUUAACAAU
rfam:Danio rerio chromosome 8, GRCz11 reference primary assembly.